GUCCCUGUAGCGCAAUGGAUAACGCGUUGGACUUUUAAUCCAAACCUCGCGGUUUCAAAACCCACCUGGGAUG